rnacentral:rRNA from 1 species
GAUGAACGCUGGCGGCGUGCCUAAUACAUGCAAGUCGAGCGAACAGACGAGGAGCUUGCUCCUCUGACGUUAGCGGCGGACGGGUGAGUAACACGUGGAUAACCUACCUAUAAGACUGGGAUAACUUCGGGAAACCGGAGCUAAUACCGGAUAAUAUAUUGAACCGCAUGGUUCUAUAGUGAAAGACGGUUUUGCUGUCACUUAUAGAUGGAUCCGCGCCGCAUUAGCUAGUUGGUAAGGUAACGGCUUACCAAGGCGACGAUGCGUAGCCGACCUGAGAGGGUGAUCGGCCACACUGGAACUGAGACACGGUCAAGAAGACUACGGGAGGCAGCAGAAGGGAAUCUUCCGCAAUGGGAGAAAGCAUGACGGAGCAAAGCCGAGUGAGUGAUGAAGGUCUUCGGAUCGUAAAAAUCUGUUAUUAGGGAAGAAAAAAUGUGUAAGUAAAUAUGCACGUAUUGACGGUAACUAAUCAGAAAGCAACGGCUAACCACGUG